UGAGGAAUAUUGGUCAAUGGAGGCAACUCUGAACCAGCCAUGCCGCGUGCAGGAAGACGGUCCUAUGGAUUGUAAACUGCUUUUAUACAGGAAUAAACCUAUCCUCGUGAGGAUAGCUGAAGGUACUGUAGGAAUAAGGAUCGGCUAACUCCGUGCCAGCAGCCGCGGUAAUACGGAGGAUCCAAGCGUUAUCCGGAAUCAUUGGGUUUAAAGGGUUCGUAGGCGGUUUAAUAAGUCAGUGGUGAAAUCUCCUAGCUUAACUAGGAAAUGGCCAUUGAUACUGUUAGACUUGAAUUAUUGGGAAGUAACUAGAAUAUGUAGUAUAGCGGUGAAAUGCUUAGAUAUUACAUGGAAUACCAAUUGCGAAGGCAGGUUACUAUCAAUCGAUUGACGCUGAUGAACGAAAGCGUGGGUAGCGAACAGG
rnacentral:rRNA from 1 species